CAAUAGCGUAUAUUAAAGUUGUUGCAGUUAAAAAGCUCGUAGUUGGAUUUCUGGUGGGAGCGAUCGGUCUGGCGCUUAGCGCGAGUACUUGCAUCGUCUCCGGCCAUCCUUGGGGAGAGUCUGUCUGGCAUUAGGUUGUCGGGCAGAGGAUCCUCAUCGUUUACUGUGAAAAAAUUAGAGUGUUCAAAGCAGGCUUAUGCCGUUGAAUAUAUUAGCAUGGAAUAAUAAGAUAGGACUUUGGUACUAUUUUGUUGGUUUGCGCACCAAAGUAAUGAUUAAUAGGGACAGUUGGGGGUAUUCGUAUUCCGUUGUCAGAGGUGAAAUUCUCGGAUUUACGGAAGACGAACUACUGCGAAAGCAUUUACCAAGGAUGUUUNCAUUAA
rnacentral:rRNA from 1 species